GACGAAGGAUCCAAGCGUUAUCCGGAUUCAUUGGGUUUAAAGGGUGCGUAGGCGGAUUUGUAAGUCAGUGGUGAAAGCCGAUAGCUCAACUAUCGAACUGCCAUUGAUACUGCAGAUCUAGAAUAUAGAUGAUGUUGGCGGAAUAUGACAUGUAGCGGUGAAAUGCAUAGAUAUGUCAUAGAACACCGAUUGCGAAGGCAGCUGACAAAACUAUUAUUGACGCUGAUGCACGAAAGUGCGGGGAUCAAACAGGAUUAGAUACCCUGGUAGUCCGCACAGUAAACGAUGAUAACUAGUUGUUUGCGAUAUACAGUAAGCGACCAAGCGAAAGCGAUAAGUUAUCCACCUGGGGAGUACGCCGGCAACGGUG
rnacentral:rRNA from 1 species